rnacentral:misc_RNA from 1 species
UUCCCCUGAGCUUGGUUGGUUGGUAUUGCUGUUGUCAGCAGUCAACAAUAAAUCCAAUUAGCAAAAAGAUAGGAAAAGUCGAAAUGGUUCAAGGUAAGAACAGCAACCAAAUUAUGCACGAUAAACUGAAUUUUGGCCAGUUUCAAUUGCAAGCGAGGCAAAAGAUUGGUAAUAACUGGGAAUACCUAUCUAAUAACUAUCAUAAUAUGCCACCAAUCAAGUAACAAAUUGAUUAUUUAUGCAAUUGAAAGUGAAAUGGGCAAAGGGACAUGCUAAAUUGAUAGUGAUGAAGGUUGAACUAGUAGUUCUUCCGCUGUUCCUUGUGAAUAUGUACCUUACUUCUUGACCUUAUCGGGAAGACGACUCACCUCUUGUUGUUGGCAUUUAAUUGACAUUGGCCACCGGUUCGCUUCAAAACAGAAGAAAAAAGAAGGAACCCCCGAGUGCCCUCCACCCGCAAGUCACAUCCGAUUAUCCAAAUUGCUUGUCCAAAGAAUUUUGUCCAUUCCAUUUCGCUGCUGUCACUCGAAAUCAAUAAAUAAAAUGGUAAUUUGCAUUUGAGAUAGUGAGUUCUAGUGGUCUAUUUUAAAACGAUGGCCUUUAUUUGCCCUUUGUUUAAAGCCCAAUAAUUAGCCUUAGAAUGUUUACAUCCUGUUUAAAUUGCAUUUGCAAAACAUUUUGCGUGCUUUUCAAAUCUUUUUCAGCACGUUUAUAGCUAAUAACAUUCGGGAUUAUUACUUGAUUUUUCAGUUGGCUGCGCGUAGUUUUGAAAGUACGCAGCUGAAAAUGUAUAUACUUUUAGAUAAUCGCACAACAAAAUAUAAAAUGAAUACAUUCAUUCAUCUUCAGUGAGAUGCAUAUGUUUUGAAAAUUCUAACGAACAAUCUUCCCACCUUGAAGUGAACCUUUCAACUUCAACUUCAACAUAGGGCUGUGCAAUUUUAGUUUGCUGGGUGCCCAUUCACUUAAAUGUCAGAUAGGCACCAGGCAGAAGCCAUAGCAACUGUUCUAGCACACCUACGCACACACACACACACGGACGGACGCACAUACACACAUCUGGACCUGUACACCUACGGCCCCGGAAAAUUAUCCAUAGAACAACCGCCGACUGACCCCGCCUCGUUUUUCCGAUUUCCCCCAUUCCGACCAGGUCAUAGACGACGUGCCGCCACCCCACGCCAAUCACCCCCCUCGCCACAAAAAACAAAAAAAAAAAAAAAAAAAACGUCGGACGACAGCCGCGUCGCCUUCACAUCAUCCAGCCAUGACCAGCGGCGGCAAUCGAUGAUUGCCAUUCCCUCAGCCAACGAGAGCCAAUAGAGGCAGCCGGAAAGGAGGACGCCCCGGAAUAGUCAGUCGGUACCGUGUCGGAAGAGUCCGCCAUUCGCAGAACGUCAAUAGCCGGAGGGGAGUCCGCCAUUUCAACGACAAGGACCCAAGUCACGCGGUGUCAACAUGCUGAUCAAGGAGUACCGCAUUCCGCUGCCCCUCACCGUCGAGGAGUACCGCAUCGCCCAGCUCUACAUGAUUGCGAAAAAGAGUCGCGAGGAGAGUCAUGGCGAGGGCAGUGGCGUUGAGAUAAUCAUCAAUGAGCCGUACAAGGAUGGACCCGGCGGAAAUGGUCAAUACACGAAGAAGAUCUACCAUGUGGGCAAUCAUCUGCCUGGCUGGAUUAAAAGUCUCUUGCCGAAAAGCGCUUUAACCGUUGAGGAGGAGGCAUGGAAUGCCUAUCCGUAUACCAGGACUCGCUACACCUGUCCGUUUGUGGAGAAGUUCUCGCUGGACAUUGAGACAUACUACUAUCCGGACAAUGGCUAUCAGGACAAUGUCUUCCAGCUGUCCGGUAGCGAUCUGCGUAAUCGUAUCGUAGACGUGAUUGACAUUGUCAAGGAUCAGCUGUGGGGCGGUGACUAUGUGAAGGAGGAGGAUCCCAAGCACUUUGUGUCGGACAAGACGGGCCGCGGACCCUUGGCCGAGGAUUGGCUGGAGGAGUAUUGGCGCGAAGUGAAGGGCAAAAAGCAGCCGACACCGCGCAACAUGUCCCUGAUGACCGCCUACAAGAUCUGCCGCGUGGAGUUCCGCUACUGGGGCAUGCAGACGAAGCUAGAGAAGUUCAUCCAUGAUGUGGCGCUGCGCAAGAUGAUGCUGCGUGCCCAUCGGCAGGCGUGGGCAUGGCAGGACGAGUGGUUCGGCUUGACCAUCGAGGAUAUACGCGAGCUGGAGCGGCAGACGCAACUGGCCCUGGCCAAGAAGAUGGGCGGCGGCGAGGAGUGCAGCGACGACAGCGUCUCGGAGCCGUAUGUCAGCACGGCGGCCACCGCCGCCUCCGCAACGGGCAGCGAGCGAAAGAAGUCCGCUCCGGCUGUGCCGCCUAUUGUCACCCAGCAGCCGCCGAGCGCCGAGGCCAGUUCGGAUGAGGAGGGCGAGGAGGAGGAUGACGACGAGGACGAGAACGAUGCCAUUGGCACGGGCGUGGAUCUGUCUGCCAAUCAAGGCGGAUCUGCGCAGCGCUCGCGCUCCCAAAGUAUUCAGAUGGCCCAGAAGGGCAAGUUCGGGUCAAAGGGCGCCCUGCACUCGCCGGUGGGAUCUGCCCAUAGCUUUGAUCUCCAGGUGGCUAACUGGCGCAUGGAGCGAUUGGAAGUGGACUCCAAAUCCAAUUCGGAUGAGGAAUUCUUUGAUUGCCUGGACACCAACGAGACGAACUCGCUGGCCAAGUGGAGCUCGCUGGAGCUGCUGGGCGAGGGCGACGACAGUCCGCCGCCACAUGGCGGACCCUCUAGUGCAGCAUCGGUGGGUGGGCGUGGCAGCUCGCGGCAAGAGGACAGCAUAUUCAAUCAGGACUUUCUGAUGCGCGUAGCCUCGGAGCGCGGCAACAAGCGACAGUUACGCUCCUCGGCCAGCGUGGAUCGCAGUCACGAUUCAUCGCCGCCGGGAUCACCGAGCACACCGUCGUGUCCCACAACCAUUCUCAUUCUGGUUGUCCAUGCGGGCAGCGUUUUGGAUGCGGCCAGCGAGCUGACCGCCAAGAAAUCCGAUGUGACCACAUUCCGUGGCUCCUUCGAGGCGGUGAUGCGACAGCACUAUCCCAGCCUCCUCACCCAUGUGACCAUCAAGAUGGUGCCGUGCCCCUCAAUAUGCACCGACGCCCUGGGCAUUCUCUCCAGCCUGAGUCCGUACUCCUUUGAUGCGUCGCCCUCGGCGGCGGAUAUACCGAAUAUAGCCGAUGUCCCCAUUGGAGCCAUACCACUACUAUCCGUGGCAUCGCCAGAAUUCCACGAGACGGUCAACAAGACGGUUGCCGCUGCCAAUAUUGUCUACCAUGAGUUUUUGAAAUCGGAGGAGGGUCACGGAUUCUCCGGCCAAAUUGUCAUGCUGGGCGAUUCGAUGGGCUCGCUGCUGGCGUACGAGGCCCUCUGCCGAUCGAAUGGCAGCCAGCCGGGCACGGCUUCGGGUGCCUCGAAUUCCGGCGGAGAUGCGGCCACAAAUAUAAACACCCACAAUCCGUUGAGCGCUCGUAAUUCGCGAUUGGACGACGACGAGCGUUUCAUCGAAGCCGAUCUGGAUGCCAAGCGUUUGCUGGUGGCCCCAUCGCCACGUAGACGCCGUUCCAGCUCCUCCAGCGAUUCGCGGGCCACCAAAUUGGACUUUGAGGUCUGUGACUUCUUCAUGUUCGGAUCGCCGCUGUCUGUGGUGCUGGCUGCUCGGAAACUUCACGAUGCCAAGGCCGCCCUGCCGCGGCCCAACUGCCACCAGGUCUACAAUCUGUUCCAUCCAACCGAUCCGAUCGCCUCGCGCCUGGAGCCGCUACUGAGCGCCCGGUUUUCUAUAUUGGCGCCAGUCAAUGUCCCACGGUACGCCAAGUAUCCGCUGGGUAAUGGCCAGCCAUUGCAUUUAUUGGAGGUCAUUCAGUCGCAUCCGCAGCACUUUAACGAUGGCAACAACCUAUUGGCUGGUCGCCGUUUGUCGGACGCAUCCAUGCAGAGCACGAUAUCGGGUCUGAUUGAGAAUGUCUCGCUUAGUACGAUCCAUGCCCUGCAAAACAAAUGGUGGGGCACAAAGCGCUUGGAUUUCGCAUUAUAUUGCCCGGAGGGAUUGAGUAACUUCCCUGCUCAUGCCUUGCCGCACCUCUUCCAUGCCAGCUACUGGGAGAGUCCGGAUGUGAUUGCCUUUAUUCUACGGCAGAUUGGCAAAUUCGAGGGCAUACCCUUUGUGGGCUCCAACGAUGACAAGGACAAUGCCUCCUUCCAUCCCGGACAGCCGAGGGAGAAGUGGAUCAAGAAACGGACCUCGGUUAAGCUGAAAAAUGUGGCCGCCAAUCAUCGGGCCAACGAUGUGAUCGUGCAGGAGGGCAGGGAGCAGCGCUUGAAUGCGAGAUUUAUGUACGGACCCCUCGACAUGAUCACGCUGCACGGUGAAAAGGUGGAUGUGCACAUUAUGAAGGAUCCGCCGGCGGGCGAGUGGACAUUCCUCAGCACCGAGGUGACGGACAAGAACGGUCGCAUCUCGUACAGCAUUCCGGAUCAGGUAUCCCUUGGCUAUGGCAUAUAUCCGGUUAAGAUGGUGGUCCGUGGCGAUCACACCUCGGUGGAUUGCUAUAUGGCGGUGGUGCCGCCGUUGACCGAAUGCGUGGUCUUCAGCAUUGAUGGCUCCUUCACCGCUUCGAUGUCGGUGACGGGCAGGGAUCCCAAGGUGCGUGCCGGAGCUGUCGAUGUUUGCCGCCACUGGCAGGAGCUGGGCUACCUGCUCAUCUACAUCACCGGACGACCGGAUAUGCAGCAGCAACGCGUGGUGUCCUGGCUGAGCCAGCACAACUUCCCGCACGGCCUGAUCUCGUUCGCCGACGGCCUGUCCACCGAUCCAUUGGGCCACAAGACGGCCUAUCUCAACAAUUUGGUUCAGAACCAUGGAAUCUCAAUUACUGCCGCCUACGGCAGCAGCAAGGACAUUAGUGUCUACACGAAUGUUGGCAUGCGAACCGAUCAAAUCUUCAUCGUGGGCAAGGUUGGCAAGAAGCUGCAGUCGAAUGCCACCGUGCUUAGCGAUGGCUAUGCCGCCCACUUGGCCGGUUUGCAGGCUGUGGGUGGUUCGCGUCCGGCGAAGGGCAAUGCCCGCAUGGUCAUUCCCCGCGGAUGCUUCAAUCUUCCCGGCCAGACCGCGAAUCCGCGGCGCAGAAGGCUGCAUGAACAAGCAACGAAUGAAAAUUGAAUUGCAACUCAAGCAAACCAAUUGUUUAGAGCAAUGAAAAACAACAAUUAAAGCAUCUUGUAAACAGAUAGAAGCGUUGAAAACAAAAACAAAACAUUACAGACAAUUGAUGUUAGAAUUAGUGUUCUAGAAUAUGCCCAACACUCCCCACACAAUUUUUCAGUUCCUUUGUUACGUAUUUUGAAGCAUACCUAGCUGAGCAUUUUAUUGAUUGAUUGAUUGGUGUUGUGAAAAAAAGAAACAAAAUUGAUAAAAAAAAAUACGAUAAAUAUCGAUCUUAGAAACGUUUCCAUCUUAGAGCCAAAAUUCAACUCUUUCUCAACGUUAACUCUGUCUUUCUUUUUCCAAACAAAAAAUAUCCAAAAUUUGUCUGAAAAAAACAAAAACAAAAACAAAUCCAACACCACACCAACACACACACCUCACACCACGCACACACACUGCCAUCGACCGUGUCUGUCAUCGAUAAUCGAUAAACACAGCAACGAGACAGGACUCUCAUCACCCAUACGCAGUGGUUACCUGAAGCGCAAGACCUACCUGAGCCACCACUAGAGCAGCAGAGAUGCAGAUACAGAUGCAGCUAUAUAGAUCGAUCCAUCAGAUAGAAGUCCUCAGAACCCCAAUAGAACUCCCUUCGAUAUAGCGAAAAAAAAUAUAUAGAGCCAAUGGACAACAAGACCGAUGCCUCCAUAUGCCACAUCUGUGUAUAUACCAUAUAAAUAUAUAUUUAUAUACUAUGCGCGAUAUAUUGAAAGUUUAAUGGUGUAAUAUAUACAUAUAUCAAAUACCAAAAUUUGCAAAUGAGAAAAAAACAAUUGUACAACAUUUAACAAAAGUCAAAUGUGUCACGCGGUACCUGGAAAGAAAGACUGUUUCCUCCUGUUGUUUGAUGGUUUUCCAAACCACUUAAAGCAUAAAACAAACAUUGAAAACUACACGAAACAAAAGCCGAUCGCAAAGCUAUAUACUAAAUACAAUUAUAAAUGAUAUAUACAGAGAUAUAUUCGAAAUAUAGAACCGUUUAACAUAUGCAAGUGAACCAAGUUCAGCCAACCAAGUGAGUUACAACAACCGAAGGACAAACUACCGAAACCGAAGAUCUCCCAAUGAUUAAUGAUACCCACUGGAAGAGGAGCGAGGAGCGAGGAGCGCGGAUGGAGUUGCAAAUCAAAAAAAAGGCAAAUUUAAUGCAUUUCUCGAGAAACAACCACUACAAAAGUAUAAAUGAACGGCUUCCGUAAACCGAAUUAAAACCUAAAAGUAGAUAUAUGUAUCUAUGUGUAUGUGCGUGUAAAAUUGACAAAAAUACAAAUAAUCGGUUCUUAAGAAAAAAACCUAAAUGUAAAAACUUCUUGAAAUUGAAUACAAUCUCUUAACUGGCCCCAGAAAUUUCAAAUCUCCAUAAUUGUGAUAGUCUUUCGCUACCAAAAGUUAUUUAAAAAGAUGAUGAAACAGCAAAUUAUAUAUUUAUCUCUACUAAAAUUGUUAUUCGAAAAGGAAAGACAUUUCGGAAUGAAACAAAACAAAAACAUAAACUAUUGGAUAUUGUGUAAACGUGAAACCCGAUUUUGUGAUACCAAAACUAGAACCGAAACCAAAAACCAAAGUUGAGUUCGAAUUGAGGCGCGAUCAAGCCGAAAACUUAAAAACCUAUGCAAACAACUCAAGGCGACCUGAAGAUUAACGGGCAUUGAAUCUGACCCAUAUAGUAAUACAUAUAUAUAUAUAUAUACAUCUCUAGGGUAUAUAUAAUACCACAAUGUAUGCAAAACCCCAAUUAUGGGCUGUCCACGCAAGUUAACUAAAAUCUCUCACACACAUCUUGUAAGCUAAAGAAAACGCUAAACAGAAUUGAAGGUACACUUGGGACCUUAAGAAUAGAAAAGAUAUAUGGAUAUAUUGAUAUAUAUGUGUAUGUCAUCUGUCUAAUCUGUUCGAUCCGUUUAGGUUUACCUAAGCCAAAGUUAGUUGAGUUAGGCGAUUAAGAUACUUCCUAAACUGAAAAGUAAACGCAAGUUAAAGAGUUUAAAUCGAUAGUUGUAAUGAGAGCAGAGUAAUUGUAUGUAAAGAUGAAUAUAUACCUAAAGCAUAUACUGUAUAUUUAUAUAGCGCAACUACCAAUUAAGGUCUUUUCAAGCUUGCUAACUGAAAAAGUGUUCCGAUUAAAGUAUUGUCCGGCUAUACGUUCCUCUAACCUCCAGUUCAGUCGAUUUUUAGCUAUAUUUCAUUUCAAUUAUCCUUUGUAGCAAGUAUUAAACUGCAAACUGAUGGAAGAUCUUGUAGAGUUUAAGAUGAAUCUCGACCUAUGAAAUGUUUAUCCUAUAUAAGUGAGUAGUUCAAGGUUUAAGAACGAGGUAAAACGAUGUUUAGAUGAAAGUCCUAUUAAAUAACACACCAGAUACUCAUAGAGUCAAAGGGUUUAUGUCUGUCUACGUAGCUGGUACAUUAAGGGCAUUUUUGCUAUACAUUUUCUAUAAGUCCACGCCGACUUCCUUUCCAACUAGAUCUAUGUACUAUUUGUAAAUGAAUAAUGCGUUCAACUUCUCAGAAUAGCAAAUUUGAGCUUAUCUUAUGUGUUUAAAACGGCUCCAUAUCACUUUAUUUUUGCGAGAGAUAAUCGUUGUUUGUUUCGGAAAUUGGAAUUAUCUUUUAGUUUCGUCUAUUGUUUGAUAUAAACUCCCCACCUAAAGCAGAAAUAAGCUGCGGAAAUAGAACUGGAAAACUCAAACGGAUUCAGAUUUCACACAAUGGCAUAUUAGUGCUUGCUCUACGUGUUUCUAAUAUUUCAUAACGAUCGGUUGAUUUAUUCUUGAUUUAUCUUUGCAAUUAAUAGAACAUCUAUGUACCUACAUUUUUCUCCUCCAUCGCAAUAAGAAAUCCCAAAGCCAAUAAAGCGUCGAGCGAAAUUGCAUUGAUAUUUUGAGAACCCACCAUUUAGAUGAUAAGCUAAAAACCCCAAACUCAAAACGACGAUGACUAAUGCAGAAAAUAUAAUCAAACAAAAAUCUGAAAACAAUACAUAAGAAAAUACAUACAUUGUUAUGUAUUUUAAUUGCGAGUCUUAAGUGCAAAAGUCCAGGAAUAACGAAUACGCAUUCAGAUUGUAAAGAAUUCUAAGAAGAGCGAAGCGAAAAUCGAACAAAUUAUGAAAUUAUUUAUUGACAAAAAAAUCUACAAACCGAUGAACAAAACAAAAAAAAUGAGGAGCAAGCCAAAUGCAAUCUAUUUACAAAAUCCUAAAAAAAGCAAAGCAAGAAUUACAAACCAAACAAAUUAAGCUGAGCUGAUUCCACGAAAAUGGAUAUAUAUAUAUAUAGAUAUAUAAUAUAAAACUACCCAAAAUUAAGAGAUUUUUAAGCCAACAGUUGAAAUUGAACUAUGACAAAUAACAAGAGUAAACCAAUUCAAAAAUGGCAGUAACAAAUAUUUUUCGAUGUAAGCUGUUUGUUGGAAAAAUAUCGAGUUUCGGUGAAUAGAAGAGUGGCUA